AUUGAACGCUGGCGGCAGGCCUAACACAUGCAAGUCGAACGGUAACAGGAAACAGCUUGCUUCUUUGCUGACGAGUGGCGGACGGGUGAGUAAUGUCUGGGGAACUGCCUGAUGGAGGGGGAUAACUACUGGAAACGGUAGCUAAUACCGCAUAACGUCGCAAGACCAAAGAGGGGGACCUUCGGGCCUCUUGCCAUCGGAUGUGCCCAGAUGGGAUUAGCUAGUAGGUGGGGUAACGGCUCACCUAGGCGACGAUCCCUAGCUGGUCUGAGAGGAUGACCAGCCACACUGGAACUGAGACACGGUCCAGACUCCUACGGGAGGCAGCAGUGGGGAAUAUUGCACAAUGGGCGCAAGCCUGAUGCAGCCAUGCCGCGUGUAUGAAGAAGGCCUUCGGGUUGUAAAGUACUUUCAGCGGGGAGGAAGGGAGUAAAGUUAAUACCUUUGCUCAUUGACGUUACCCGCAGAAGAAGCACCGGCUAACUCCGUGCCA
rnacentral:rRNA from 1 species